UUGUAGGCGUUGAAAAGGAAAAGUAAAUAAGGGGAGAUUUUAUAGAGAGCUUCUGACGGUGGAAAAGAGGCAAAUGAACCUUAUUGAAAAUGACCUUGGAGCUUCGUACCGAAAACGAUCCGUGAGUAGACUACGACGAGAUAGGCACUCGUUAUAACAGCAGCAGUAUCUCUUCUUUUUUUAAAGACGUACUGAAUAGAGGCAAAUAGUGUAAACUAUUUGUGAAGCUAGGUGGUACCACGGGUUAACUCGUCCUAAUC
rnacentral:ncRNA from 1 species